rnacentral:lncRNA from 1 species
AAGCCGGGUGGACAUCGCUGAGGCUUGGAAAAGAUUUCCUCCGGGGAAAAUCCCUCCGGAGUUCUCCAGUCUGGUGUCAGAGAGGAAUACUAAAGAAGAAGGAGAAAUUCAAGGUACAAGAGAGGCAAAGAAUGUUGCUCCUACAAAGGAACUCUCCUGACAGAAGUCCACAGAGGACAGAUGGAUGGGGAUGAUUUCCACACUAGUUCCUAACUUUAAAUAAAACCAAGCCUGCAGCGUAGUUUCCUGAGUCCUAAUGGAAGGAUUUGAUGAAGACAUCCCAUUUAGGAGCACUUUCAUAAGUGAUUGGUUGUGUACAGAUUUUGAGCUUUGCAGUUAUACAUGCCAUCUUCUGAACAUGACUAAGAAGAUGCCCAGGAUGAAGUUGGGGAAGCAGAAAGAUCAGUGAGAGCAACCUGAACUUGGAAAUGCUGUCUGAAUUUUUAUUCUUUAAUUAUACAUCUAGAGCUGCCUGGGUGCUUGCAAAAUGCCUGUUCCUGGAUCCCAGCCUAUGCUGACACUAUUACAGUCUCUGGAAGCAGAAAAAGAACAGGUGUUUGUAGCCAGAAUCGGAUGAUCCUUUGACUCACAACACUGGGAACAUUUGAUGAUCUUGUCAGAAGAGGAAGCAGAAAGGUUGUAAGAGCCACAGGUGGAAUAUAACUUAAAGGAAAUAGUGUUUUCUGGGCACAGCAGUGCAGUUGCAUAAAACACGGUGGCAGAAAAUGGAUUGACUACAAAAGAGAAAUAAAAUAUUAAUUUUCAUUCUUA